UUUUCAUCACGUCUUUCAUGCAAGAACAAUAGCUAUCAAGAGAUCUCUGAACACAUUUUCUUUAGAUUCUUCCAUGCAAUACAAGCAUCCACAUAAAUUGUAUGACAACCACACAUCUAAAGUACAAAAAGCUUGCCAUAUUUUUUCUAACAAAUGUACAUUCUCGCUGAUUACAUGGUGCCAAAGAAAACAAAGCCUGAGAUAACCAGAUCGGGACUAGCACAAGAGGUGAAAUUAUCAGUUUCAUCAGCUGUCAUCUUGGGAGACAUGAGGAUGACUCCUAUGAAGAUUACCCAGCCAUAGUUCAUCAGCAUGGGCUGAUUCUUUGAUCUCCUAGUUCAUGCCUUCAACUAAUCGGUUUGAAGCCUGGUGAAGAUGCGAAGGAAGGCGAUGCUUGCAGUUUUUCCAUGCUUAUCAAAGGCAAAAAUAUUGUUGGAGCGGGCAAGAUGGCCCUGAAUCUGAAUAGUAGCGAAUAGUCAGUUCUAGAACAACCAUAAAACCAUGAUAUAGAAAAUAACGAUGGAUUAUCCUCUAUAAAGGGGUUGCUACAUAUAAAACACGGAUUCCAAAGUAUCACAUUUUUACAAUAUAAAUGACAGUUCACUACUAGAGAAAAAGUGAUGCAACAUUGGGGAUACAUAUUUGUUUUGGCUUGGCGAUAGUCAGCUAAGGAAGUUUUUUUAAGUACUGAACAUGCAAUGUUGAUCAGUCAUUUUAGAACAACCAUCAGUCAGCCAUACAACACAUGAAACAAAAUGGCAGCUACUACUUAUAGCUAGUGACCAAUUAGAGGAACGUCCAAUCUAUGAGGUUUUGCAGAUAUAUUAUAAGGAACACCGACAUUCUGCAAGCCAUGGGUUACUAACCUGCAUGAAAAUAGGGAGUACAUCCCUUGUAAUUGACAUGAGGAUUGUACAAAUAUACUGCUCGUAUGUUAAUUUGGUACCCACAACACACUAUUCCAAUUCUGAAUCAACAAAAGUAUGCCUUUUCAGUCAACUAGAACAACAUUGCUCAUGUUAUCUCUCUGCCACUGGUUUAAGCAGAUUGGGGGAAAGGUGUGGACGAAAUUGUAAUAACAAAAAUAACCUUAACAAAUGGAUAAAGGAAGAAGCAAACAUAC
rnacentral:lncRNA from 1 species